rnacentral:sRNA from 1 species
UGAACGUGUCCUGUAUUAUAGGUAUAAUG